rnacentral:rRNA from 1 species
CUUUCAGCAGGGAAGAAGCGAAAGUGACGGUACCUGCAGAAGAAGCACCGGCUAACUAUGUGCCAGCAGCCGCGGUAAUACAUAGGGUGCAAGCGUUGUCCGGAAUUAUUGGGCGUAAAGAGCUCGUAGGUGGUUCGUCACGUCGGAUGUGAAAAUCUGGGGCUUAACCCCAGACCUGCAUUCGAUACGGGCGAGCUUGAGUAUGGUAGGGGAGUCUGGAAUUCCUGGUGUAGCGGUGGAAUGCGCAGAUAUCAGGAGGAACACCAAUGGCGAAGGCAGGACUCUGGGCCAUUACUGACACUGAGGAGCGAAAGCGUGGGGAGCGAACAGGAUUAGAUACCCUGGUAGUCCACGCCGUAAACGGUGGGCACUAGUUGUGGGGACCUUCCACGGUCUCUGCGACGCAGCUAACGCAUUAAGUGCCCCGCCUGGGGAGUACGAUCGCAAGAUUAAAACUCAAAUGAAUUGACGG